rnacentral:rRNA from 1 species
UACAGAGGUCUCGAGCGUUUGUUCGGAUUCAUUGGGCGUAAAGGGUGCGUAGGCGGGUCUUUUAAGUCAGGGGUGAAAUCCUGGAGCUCAACUCCAGAACUGCCUUUGAUACUGAGGAUCUUGAGUUCGGGAGAGGUGAGUGGAACUGCGAGUGUAGAGGUGAAAUUCGUAGAUAUUCGCAAGAACACCAGUGGCGAAGGCGGCUCACUGGAUCUCUUCUGACGCUGAGGCACGAAAGCUAGGGUAGCGAACGGG